GAACAUAGCUCAGUUGGUAGAGUGUUUGCCUCACAAGCACAAAGUCCUGGGUUAAAUCCCCAGCAUGUACA
rnacentral:tRNA from 1 species